rnacentral:rRNA from 1 species
UACGAAGGGGGCUAGCGUUGCUCGGAAUCACUGGGCGUAAAGCGCACGUAGGCGGCUUUGUAAGUCAGGUGUGAAAUCCCUCGGCUCAACCGAGGAAUAGCGCUUGAUACUGCAAGGCUUGAGGGAGACAGGGGUAAGCGGAACUGAUGGUGGAGCGGUGAAAUGCGUUGAUAUCAUCAGGAACACCGGUGGCGAAAGCGGCUUACUGGGUCUCUUCUGACGCUGAGGAACGAAAGCUAGGGGAGCGAACGGG